UGCCAGACUCCUACGGGAGGCAGCAGUGGGGAAUAUUGCACAAUGGGGGGAACCCUGAUGCAGCGACGCCGCGUGGGCGAGGAAGUAUUUCGGUAUGUAAAGCCCUAUCGGCAGGGAAGAAGAAAUGACGGUACCUGAAUAAGAAGCACCGGCUAAAUACGUGCCAGCAGCCGCGGUAAUACGUAGGGGGCAAGCGUUAUCCGGAUUUACUGGGUGUAAAGGGAGCGUAGGCGGUUUAGCAAGUCAGAAGUGAAAGCCCGGGGCUCAACUCCGGGACUGCUCUGGAAACUGUGCAGCUAGAGUGCAGGAGAGGCAGGCGGAAUUCCUAGUGUAGCGGUGAAAUGCGUAGAUAUUAGGAGGAACACCGGUGGCGAAGGCGGCCUGCUGGACUGUGACUGACGUUGAGGCUCGAAAGCGUGGGGAGCAAACAGGAUUAGAUACCCGGGUA
rnacentral:rRNA from 1 species